rnacentral:rRNA from 1 species
GGAAUAUUGGACAAUGGGGGCAACCCUGAUCCAGCAACGCCGCGUGAAUGAAGAAGGCCUUAGGGUUGUAAAGUUCUUUUGUCUGGGAGCAAAUGAUGUUUGUUAAUAGCAAAUGUAUCUGAGAGUACCAGAAGAAUAAGCACCGGCUAACUACGUGCCAGCAGCCGCGGUAAUACGUAGGGUGCGAGCGUUAAUCGGAAUUACUGGGCGUAAAGGUUGCGUAGGCGGAUUUGUAAGUUAGAUGGGAAAUACCUGAGCUUAACUUGGGAGGUGCAUUUAAUACUGCGAGUCUAGAGUUUGUGAGAGGGUGGUAGAAUUCCAAGUGUAGCAGUGAAAUGCGUAGAGAUUUGGAGGAAUACCGAUGGCGAAGGCAGCCACCUGGCAUAGAACUGACGCUGAGGCACGAAAGCGUGGGUAGCAAAC